rnacentral:tRNA from 1 species
GGGAAGCUGGCUCAGUGGUAGAGUGCUUGCUUCCCAUGCAUGAGGCCCUGGGUUCGAUUCCUCAGCACCACA